rnacentral:tRNA from 1 species
AGCCCUGUGGUGCAGUGGUCAAAUCUUGAGAUAAAAAGAGACUAUACAUAGGGGGCCCUGGACCCCUUGACCCCGGUUCGAAUCCGGGCGGGGCUACCA